GAGUAUUAGUAGUUAUGAUCUUGAAACUUAAAGAAUUUGGCGGUAUUAUAGUCUGUUUAGAGGAAUCUGUUAUGUAAUCGAUAAUCCACGUAGAACCUUACUUAUAUUAUUUCUUGUAUAUCGCUGUUUAAGAACAUACUUUUAGGUAAUUUUCUUAAGAUGUAACUAAUUAAAAUUUCAAGUCAAGGUGCAGUAAUAUAUAAGUUGAAUAAUGGAUUACAAUAAAAUUUAUUUAUUAUGAAUUGUUAUUGAAAUAUAAUUUGAAGGUGGAUUUAAUUGUAAUUUUUUAAAGAUUGUUAAAAUGAUUUAAAGCUCUAUAAUAUGCACACAUCGCCCGUCGCUCUUA
rnacentral:rRNA from 1 species